UACAGAGGUCUCAAGCGUUGUUCGGAUUCAUUGGGCGUAAAGGGUGUGUAGGUGGCGCGCUAAGUCGGGUGUGAAAUUUCGGAGCUUAACUCCGAAACUGCAUUCGAUACUGGCGUGCUUGAGGACUGGAGAGGAGACUGGAAUUCAUGGUGUAGCAGUGAAAUGCGUAGAGAUCAUGAGGAAGACCAGUGGCGAAGGUGGGUCUCUGGACAGUUCCUGACGCUGAGGCACGAAGGUCAGGGGAGCAAACGGG
rnacentral:rRNA from 1 species